rnacentral:rRNA from 1 species
AGAGUUUGAUCAUGGCUCAGGAUGAACGCUAGCGGGAGGCCUAACACAUGCAAGCCGAGCGGUAUUGUUUCUUCGGAAAUGAGAGAGCGGCGUACGGGUGCGGAACACGUGUGCAACCUACCUUUAUCUGGAGGAUAGCCUUUCGAAAGGAAGAUUAAUACUCCAUAAUAUAUUGAUUGGCAUCAGUUGAUAUUGAAAGCUCCGGCGGAUAAAGAUGGGCACGCGCAAGAUUAGCUAGUUGGUGAGGUAACGGCUCACCAAGGCGAUGAUCUUUAGGGGCCUGAGAGGGUGAUCCCCACACUGGUACUGAGACACGGACCAGACUCCUACGGGAGGCAGCAGUGAGGAAUAUUGGUCAAUGGGUGCAAGCCUGAACCAGCCAUCCCGCGUGAAGGACGACUGCCUAUGGGUUGUAAACUUCUUUUGUAUAGGGAUAAACCUACUCUCGUGAGAGUAGCUGAAGGUACUAUACGAAUAAGCACCGGCUAACUCCGUG